rnacentral:rRNA from 1 species
AUUGAACGCUGGCGGCAGGCCUAACACAUGCAAGUCGAAUGGUAACAGGAAACAGCUUGCUGUUUCGCUGACGAGUGGCGGACGGGUGAGUAAUGUCUGGGAAACUGCCUGAUGGAGGGGGAUAACUACUGGAAACGGUAGCUAAUACCGCAUAACGUCGCAAGACCAAAGAGGGGGACCUUCGGGCCUCUUGCCAUCAGAUGCGCCCAGAUGGGAUUAGCUAGUAGGUGGGGUAACGGCUCACCUAGGCGACGAUCCCUAGCUGGUCUGAGAGGAUGACCAGCCACACUGGAACUGAGACACGGUCCAGACUCCUACGGGAGGCAGCAGUGGGGAAUAUUGCACAAUGGGCGCAAGCCUGAUGCAGCCAUGCCGCGUGUAUGAAGAAGGCCUUCGGGUUGUAAAGUACUUUCAGCGGGGAGGAAGGGAGUAAAGUUAAUACCUUUGCUCAUUGACGUUACCCGCAGAAGAAGCACCGGCUAACUCCGUG